CGAGCGCACUGACAUCAGGAAAGGCUAUCGUUAACCAAACGCUUUGCCAACUUCCAGUUCCACUGUCCAGGCUUUCGUUUUUAAGUAGCCUAGCUGGUUGAGCAACAACGAUGCAUGUGUUUGCGAGCAUUGGUUCAUUUCAGUUUGUGAAUGGUUGAAUAUACGGGCUAUAAAGGAUGUCAUAUCCUAAAUCAAAGAAAGAUGACGGAGAAUCACACCAGCUACAUAACCUUAGCUAACUGAUAUAUUGGAUGGAGCCCAUCAAUUGUAUUCGUGGUGGUAUGACUUGCAAUACAUUUUGGCCAGCUAAUGUUAUGUAUUUUGAUUGCCAUAUAUAUCUGCACACCUGGUUCGUUUGACUAAUUGGGCCACCCCAAAUCCAUAGAAAAAAAUAUUAGGCUGGGUAAUUGCUGCAAGGUAGCUUAAUUAAACUUGAUGUGAUGUUAGGCUAUAAAUAGGCGGCUACCCCUACUCAUUUAAUUAUUUAACGGUUUUUUUCACGCGCUAAAAUAGCAAUGGUUGCAUAUUUCACUCUGCCGAUUAGCGUUACCCCACCUUUAACGUUUCUUUGGACUGCCAUUGUUUUUUAUUUAUUUUUUAUCUCCAGGUCAUCACAUGGGAGCGCCAUUGACUCAAUGCCAGCAUCAAACUGCAAGGACAGUGAUAGAAACGCGGAAAAUCUCGCUGAGCUGGGCUCAAGAAAAGUUUGUCAAUUGAGAGAAUAUACCGACCGACCACUUAGCCUAGGCUGUUGUUCAUGUCCGUGACAUUAUCCCCUGAUAACUGUCUGUAUGUGAACAUCGGAACGCCUCCGCUACAGCCGUUGCACCUGUCUGCACAGCAGCAAGCCUUUAUCGGAACCAUAGCCCACACACUCUACAGACAAGACACUUUUCACAGGACAACAGAAAAUAGGAGGAUUUCGAUUUUUAUUUAUUUAGUUGAACACGUUCGGGCUGAAUGCAUCCCGGCGAAGCAUUGGUUAGGCUACAUCUUUGCUGACGAUUAAUUGAACAAGCAUGCCGAACUACAUUGCAAGGGUUACAACUGCCGGAAACCUUUUUGUUAAUGGAGUAAAUCACCAAUACGGAUCCAGGAUUCAACUAUGCCUGUAAGAAAAAAAGACACAGCUAGGGCCCUAGGCCUUUUGGAAGACUACUGUGCUAAACUGAGGAAGCCAGAGGAACAACAGCUCAAAUCUGCCAUUCAGAGAGUGAUGGGGGUCUUCAAAAGCAGCCUGUUCCAAGCACUGCUUGCUUCCGGGUGUGCUGGAAUAAGGACGCGAACUACGGAAAUCGUGACUGGCUAUGUAGUUCCUGUCCGGAAUGGGUGUAUUGGAAGUCACCAUGUCCGUAGUGAUGAGAUUCUGUAAAUGUAUUUAUGAUAAACUGAUUGCAAAGGAUCAAUGAAGACAAUUCAUGAUAUGUUUAGCUGAGUGGAAAAUGUAGGCUUUGAUGUUUGUAAUGGCUUAAUUAAUGAGUUUGAUAUGUUCGGAUGGGAGGGGCUUCCCUACAAAAGGAACCCCUCUUUUUGUUUAAAGGGGAGGUGGGGGCGUUUUGAUUGAGCUGUUGAUGGGGCAGCACUUAGGUGUCCCCAUAAUGUAUACUUUUGGUGGCAGUACUGUUUUUCUUCCGGAAUCACAAUGUAAAUAAACACCCUUACA